rnacentral:rRNA from 1 species
GACAGAGGGUGCAAACGUUGUUCGGAAUUACUGGGCGUAAAGGGCGCGUAGGCGGUCAGCACAAGUCAGUUGUGAAAUCUCCGGGCUUAACUCGGAAAGGUCAACUGAUACUGUGCGACUAGAGUGCAGAAGGGGCAACUGGAAUUCUCGGUGUAGCGGUGAAAUGCGUAGAUAUCGAGAGGAACACCUGCGGCGAAGGCGGGUUGCUGGGCUGACACUGACGCUGAGGCGCGAAAGCCAGGGGAGCGAACGGG